rnacentral:rRNA from 1 species
CACCCCGGGUUCCAGCGCCAUCACUGAUCGCCGUACUAACGAGGCCUGUGGGCGCUUACUUUCAAAUCGGACGGGAUGUGGUGCACUCGG